GCACCUGUAGCUCAGUGGAUUAGAGCAUUUCGCUUCGGACGAAAGGGUCGGGGGUUCGAGUCCCUCCAGGUGCG
rnacentral:tRNA from 1 species